rnacentral:snoRNA from 1 species
GUGAGGUGACGAUAUAAUUCAUGUCUGUCAAUCCACUGAUACAUUUGUGAUGUUAUACAUGAAUCCCGACAGGUUCCGAUCAC